UUGAUUUGAGAGUUUGAUCCUGGCUCAGGAUGAACGCUGGCGGCGUGCCUAACACAUGCAAGUCGAGCGGAGAUAUAGAGGAGUACUUGUACAAAUCUUUAUCUUAGCGGCGGACGGGUGAGUAACACGUGAGGAACCUGCCCUUAAGUGGGGAAUAACACCGAGAAAUCGGUGCUAAUACCGCAUAACGUCCCGGGAGCGCAUGCUUCGGGGACCAAAGGAUUUAUUCGCUUAAGGAUGGCCUCGCGUCCGAUUAGGUAGUUGGAGGGGUAACGGCCCACCAAGCCUACGAUCGGUAGCCGGACUGAGAGGUUGAACGGCCACAUUGGGACUGAGACACGGCCCAGACUCCUACGGGAGGCAGCAGUGGGG
rnacentral:rRNA from 1 species